GUCCCUUCAGGAAUAUCCGACAAAAUAGGAACGAUACAGAGCAGAUUAGCACAGCCCCAGUGCAAGGAUGAUAUGCAUAAAUCGAGAAAUGGUAGUGUAAUUA